AGGGGACCACGAAGAGUUUGAUGGAGACGGUUCCUAUUUGAAGCGGAUCGCUCUACCCUGACGUGGAGGACAGAUAAGGAAGGAUGUCCCUGUGUCUAGGAAACCAGCUAGGACCCCAUUGCGGCAGGUCAGGCGAGGGGCGAUGGUGGCCUGAGCAGGACGGUAGUAAAAGGAACAGAGAGAGGUAUGCAGGGCCCAUCAGAAGGACCCCAUCAACCAACAGAGUGUGGGGAUCCAGGGCAGCUCCUAAGCUCUGGCCUACGGGAGGAAGGAAGCGGUGGCCUCAGCAGGAAGGGCUGAUUAGAAGGAAGGUGAGGAUGUUGGUUGGGUCUGAAGUGCUUGGAGACAUCCAGGCGAGCUGACCCCCAGGAGGCAGACACACAGAGGUGAAGCCUGAGGGAGGCCGAGGGGAGUGAUGUUUACGUGGGAGGCAGCAGCAGGUGAGCACAGCUAAAGCCAGGAGCCGGCAGGAGGCUGUCCUGGAGCAGAGAGAAGAGGAGGAAAAGCAGUGCGUCAACGCUGAUCCCUUAACGUCGACACGUAAGGCGUGAGUGGCGGAAAAGAAGCUUUUGGAAAGAGAAACCCAUGAAGGAGGCAGAGCUGAAGGCCAGAGGUAUAAGGAGCAGGGAAGCACGUUGUCAUGGACGCUGGACGAUCAGAGGCCCUCAGGGAGCAAGGAUGCAGUGGCUCAGACGCAGCAGAGGCUGGCAAGAUGAAGACGGAGCACUCACCCCGAUACUGGUCAUCUUAGGUUCACAGGAAGCUGCAAACAGCCCGAAGAGGCCCUGUGGACCCAUCACCGGCUUUCCCCAGUGGCGGUGCCUCACAUGACAGCAGGAUACGUUGUCAAACCAGAAGUGACAUGGCUUGGAUAACCUGCAGACCUUACCCAAGGUUCCCAGUUUUUACACACACUCAUAUGCGCGUGUCAAUAACUCUCUGCAACUUUAUCACCUGCGUGGAUGUGAGCAAGCACCACCACAAUCCAGUGCAGGACUGUCCAUCAC
rnacentral:lncRNA from 1 species